rnacentral:lncRNA from 1 species
AAAUCCUUCAUAGGAUAACAGUUAUAAAUUUAUAGAGAAAAUUAUAUAGAAAGGAGACUUUUUUUUAAAUUUUUAACACUUCUAAUGUCUUCACAAUGUAUAUUUUGAUGAUUAGAAACAAAACAAAGUAUAUAAUCAUUAGGUUUUUUCAUAAGAAAAUGUUACAGAUGGUCAUGAAAAUAAAAUCACUGUAGUUUUUCAGAGAUUAAAAAAAUGAGAAAUGAGGUUAAAAGAUAAAUCAAAGUAAAACUGUGUGUUUAAACAUAAUGGCAUGUGUACAUAUAUUAUUAUAUGCAUGAUUUCAUAAUAAGAAAAAAAUUAACUUUUUCAUUUAAGUAAAUGAGAAUUUCAGAUAGUGAAGCCAAUUGAUUCCUAUUUAGUUAAACAUGUAAAGACACCAAAGAUGGAAUAAAAUUUAAGUAGGACCUUGAAGGUUAAAUAUAUGGAAAUGUGCUUUCAUUAGUAUUGAUAAUUACUAAAUUUGACUAGUUGAAAUGGAUAAAUGCACAUAUGCUCACUUACCUUGUUCUAACUUUCAUUUUGUAGACGAUUAUACCAUAAAGGCUGCACAUUGAAUAAGUUUAGAUAUUAACAUUUUUGUUUAAAGUUCGUUUUUAGUAUAUCAAAUUGAUUAUUCUGUCUCUUAUCAUACACUUUGCAAACAUCAAUGCCUUUUAAAAAAACUGCAUCAUUGUAUAAGUAAUCACAGUGAUAAAAUAUUUGUCAAAUCUCUCAGUUACUUAUUUUCAUUACCAUAUUC